UUAAAUUCGUUCGUAGUCAAAAUACGAUGUUGCCGUUCCGUCGAACAUGACCUUUGACACGUUGCCAAACUUAUUUAGUACCAUCAGAUGGUUGACUUGAAAUAAAAUACAUUUCGAAGAGUUUGCGUAGCAUUACGCUAGGCUUUACGCGCGGAAUUUCUUGUAUGUUUUUGAUCAAUGAAAAUUCAUUGAUUCGAAGUAAUAUUUCUUGUAUGUAUUUCUUUCCAAUUUAAUAUGAUUAUUGCAAAGUAUUGUAGUAUAUGUUGUUUAUAAGUAAGUAAUUUUAUUUCAAAAUAAAAAUACCUACCAACUAAUAAAUAUUAGCAAGUUAGCCCGUGAGUUUAGCUGGCUAUUACAAACUAAAAUCCUCAUAUUAGAAAUCACCGAUCGAUAUUAUAUUGUUUUCUCAGAUUAGUAAUACAAAUAACUUUGGACGGACAAACAUUAGUAUUAUUUGUCACAUUAUAUUGCGUCUGCUACAUGAAUCCCGCGCGUUCCGAUACACUCAAAAUCAGUUGAACGGACGGUAAAACAAGUAUCUUUAAAUUUCUAAUGUUAUAGUAAAUCGAGUAUAAUUAUGUAAUAUGAUUUUAUGAUUUUAUUAUGGUUGUUCUGCAGCGAUUUUUCAAUUGAUGUUAUAUCAUAAUUUGGGUAAGUAAAAUUUUAUUGCUAUAAUUUUUCUGAAUUUCGGAACGUAUUUAAUAAAUUCUGUUUUAUCUAUGGUAUGGAUAUUUACUUUGCAAUAAUUUUCAUGACAUGAGACUACAUUUUGCUGCAAUUACAAGCGAUUUGAUCUGGUUUUGUUAUAAUUUCGUUUCAAUUUUAUGCGAAUAGUUUUUGUGUAUUUCGGAUUCCGUUUACAUCUAGGUACCUACUAUGUCGGGGUCCUACGAGAAAGCUGGCGUAUCAACCCCACGAAUAUUCAGGCGCCCGUAAAUCGUCAAAACGAGUGAAAAGCGCAUUCAGUUGGAUACAUGUGGACGACAAGAUAGUAAACCUGUAAAUUAUAACUCAAGUUGUGGCCAACUUCAUUGUAAACAAACUUUAGUUUUCAAGUUCAAGGACAAAUGCGUGUCAGUAACAUGGAUAAAUGCUACUUCAUAUGUUUUAUUUCAGUCAAUGAACCUUUGACUGUUAUAGAAGUUUGUCGAGAUAAUAUAAUGACUUUAUCAGCAAUAUGAUGCCAAAGUUAAUACACUUUUUUAAAGAAUGUAUUCUGCCAGAAAUAGUUUUGAGACAUGUUCAAAAAAAUGCGAAAUGUAUACCUAGGUAUGAAAGCAGCUGUGUAGCGGUAGUUUCCAGGCAAUAAUGAAGAAGGAAGAGUGAAAACAACACGACAAAUGUUUUUUUUAUUGUACUAUUAUAGUAGUGUGUUUAGAAUCUACAUUAUCAAUGUUUACAGUCAUAUUUUUUUUGAUGUCAGAAAACUGAAAUGGUGUACUCGUCGUAAUGAACAUAAUGUUCAUAAUGUGAUAUGAAUACAUUGGACCUAUUUUAAGGUUUCUGAAAAACAAAAAGGAAAGUUGUUGCUUUUUUAUUUCCUUAUGUAGUAUAGUGAUUAUGGAUGCUUAGAUAUUCUCAAACAUUUUUCCGCUUUGAUUGCAAUCUAUUAUUCUGGUUGCCUUGUUUAUGAAUUAUAGUUUUGAAUUAUUAUUUUGAAUGAGAUUAUUUUUUAAUAAUCAGUCACGUAUCAAGCAUUCAUGUCACAUAAAUACUUGUAAUAAUUGCAGGUUAGUAUAUACAUUCUAUUAAAUAAUGUAUAAGAUAAUAAAAUAAAACUGUCUUACAUUGCA